rnacentral:lncRNA from 1 species
UUAAUUCCUAGCAUGGAUCUUAAGUCACUCUGGGAUCUAAGAGAUGUUUCGAUCAUUCUGGGAUUUAUGCUUCUUGAAAAGGCUCAGGACAAAUGGCAGUGAAGGCUACGUGGAUACACAGUUUGUGGAGAUGGGGUCUUGCUCUAUCACCCAGGCUGUAGUGCAAUAGUGUGAGCAUAGCUCACUGCGGCCUCGAACUCUUCCAGGGCUCAAACGAUCCUCACACCUUAGCCUCCCCAAUGGCCAGGACUACAGACCUACCAUUUAUUGUCGGUGUACACAGACUUCUGAAGGAGCUGAGCAGAGGAAUGGUAAAGAGAACCUCUCUGACGAGUCUGUGAGACUACAGCUCCGAGAAAUGCUUCCUGUUUUGAAGAUGGAGCUGCAUCGUGACCUCCGCACACCUGCCUAGUCAGCAUACCCCAGCAUUCUUGCAGCUGUGACCCAUGUGCUUAGCAGCACUGUGGAGUGCCAGCCUCAGCCACCCCUGGAGAGAGCCCGCAGAACCAUGGCCCCUAUUCACCUGCCAGCGGACCAUGCUGCUUGUCAGCGGAGGCUCCAGAUGUCAACUCUCCAGGGUGAGCCAUCAGUCAACAUCCUGGCCAUCGGGGUUUUUGGGUGAGCUUCCUCAGGACAAUGGUCUCAUGUGACCGCCCAGCUCUACUUAAACACAUUUAGUCCCUUCACAAAUAGCCUGUCCUUAGAAAGCUCUUUGUGAGGAGCUGAAAUCAACCUUUGAUAACUUUCUUCCCACUGGUCUUUGUUUUGCCCUGAAGCAACAAGUAUACUCCCUUUUCUCUUUAAAAAAAAAAAAAAAAAA